GAGCUUCUACAUACCGAACAGUCGAUAAUUGUGGUAGGUCAUUCUAUUGGCGUGUACAUAGGUCUGGAAAUAUGCAAAAGAUUCCAGAAGAAGGUAAUUUCUUUUGUGGGGCUUUAUCCAUUUUUGACAUUGAACAAGAAUGCUAUGAAGCAAUCAGCAAUUGGAUAUGUUGCAAGGUAGUAAAUUCUUUGGAGUUUGGUUGCUUUUUUAUGUAUAUUUAUCAACACAACAAUACCGCUUUGCUACUCCACAAAACUUGGAUAAUUCAAACAAGGCGAUGUGAUAACAUGAGCCGUGAUAGGGGAUUUUUUUUCUAAUUUUUUUGUU